rnacentral:tRNA from 1 species
GGGCGGUUAGCUCAGCCGGGAGAGCGCCUGCCUUACAAGCAGGAGGUCAGAGGUUCGAACCCUCUACCGCCCACCA